UUUUAUGGAGAGUUUGAUCCUGGCUCAGGAUGAACGCUGGCGGCGUGCCUAAUACAUGCAAGUCGAGCGAACGGACGAGAAGCUUGCUUCUCUGAUGUUAGCGGCGGACGGGUGAGUAACACGUGGAUAACCUACCUAUAAGACUGGGAUAACUUCGGGAAACCGGAGCUAAUACCGGAUAAUAUUUUGAACCGCAUGGUUCAAAAGUGAAAGACGGUCUUGCUGUCACUUAUAGAUGGAUCCGCGCUGCAUUAGCUAGUUGGUAAGGUAACGGCUUACCAAGGCAACGAUGCAUAGCCGACCUGAGAGGGUGAUCGGCCACACUGGAACUGAGACACGGUCCAGACUCCUACGGGAGGCAGCAGUAGGGAAUCUUCCGCAAUGGGCGAAAGCCUG
rnacentral:rRNA from 1 species